rnacentral:tRNA from 2 species
CCCGAGCGGCCAAAGGGAGCAGACUGUAAAUCUGCCGUCACAGACUUCGAAGGUUCGAAUCCUUCCCCCACCA